UCAGGCCUAACACAUGCAAGUCGUACGAGGUGUAAAUAAUUCACUUGUGUAUUGUUUAUUACUACAGUGGCGCACGGGUGAGUAACACGUAAGAACCUGCCUUUUGGAGGGGGAUAACAUAGGGAAACCUUUGCUAAUACCCCAUAAAGCUGAGGAGCUAAAUCGCAUUUGCGGCCAAGAGAGGGGCUUGCGCCUGAUUAGCUAGUUGGGGAGGUAAUGGCUUCCCAAGGCCACGAUCAGUAGUUGGUCUGAGAGGAUGAUCAGCCACACUGGACUGAGACACGGCCCAGACUCCUACGGGAGGCAGCAGUGAGGAAUUUUCCGCAAUGGGCGAAAGCCUGACGGAGCAAUACCGCGUGAAGGAAGAAGGAUCGUGGUCUGUAAACUUCUUUUCUCAGAGAAGAAGAU
rnacentral:rRNA from 1 species